rnacentral:lncRNA from 1 species
UUUCAGCAUUCAAUCUUUCUUCUUCCCAUUUAAUAACAAUCAUACUUCCAUUCCAUAAUUCACUUUCACAAUAUUCAAAAACUCUUAAUCUUCUUAUUCAAAGAAAAUAACAAACAAAAGAAAAGAGGUAGCACCAAGCUUAUCCCGGCUCAUACUAUCACAGUUUGGCCCUUACUUCCUCUCUCCCAUCCUCCUUAUGCUACCACGAGAUACCAACUGCUAUAUUUCUAAUGAAAACUACUUUUCCUAACUAUUCAUCUAUUUUACCUAC